GUAUUUGCGGCAACAUUUGUGCGACUUGUGAUUGGAUCAUGCCAUGCUUUUACGGUAGGAAAACUGAAAUUUAUGUAUUUAUAUUGAUAUGCAAAUGAGAUGAUUUCGGUUCUGUAUGUUAAUCAAACCUGUUCGCCCUUCGUUAUACAAAUGCGUUAAGUCCCAUCGAUUAACAUUCGAUAAACAAUCAAGGUCGUGAAAGCUGC
rnacentral:lncRNA from 1 species